rnacentral:rRNA from 1 species
UGCGUAGGCGGACUAAUAAGUCAGUGGUGAAAUCUUUCGGCUCAACCGAGAAACGGCCAUUGAUACUGUUAGUCUUGAGUUCGGUUGAGGUAGGCGGAAUGUGUAAUGUAGCGGUGAAAUGCUUAGAUAUUACACAGAACACCAAUUGCGUAGGCAGCUUACUAGACCGACACUGACGCUGAGGCACGAAAGCGUGGGGAGCGAACAGGAUUAGAUACCCUGGUAGUCC